ACUGCAGGUGGGCUCCUGAAAGUGCUGACUGGUUUUUGUGCUUCUCUACUAGCCUGAAAGCUGAUCAGUAUAAUUAGAAACAGAGAUGAUUAGAAAUUUUUAUGCAAAAUAAGGAUUUUCAGCAGACGACACAUUAGCUGUCGCAAAGUACGAAGACAUCCAUGCAAAUGACCCUCCGAGGACUCGAGUGACCAUAAGCAAUGAGGGAAAUAAGAAAUCAGGAAUGUACAGACUGGCUGCAGUGUGUGCGCUGCUGCUGUUUGUUCUGCUGACUGCCAUCACAGUGCUGUGGGUCAAAUUAGUUACUGAACACAACCUAAACAAACAGUUAAAGCAGGAGAGAGAUCAUCUUCAGGACAUAAAUAGGCAGGACAAGCUGAAAUGGAAACGCUUGGCUCCAGUCUUUACUACUUCUCUGACAUGAAGAACUGGACUGUGCAGACCUGGUGAUCAUUAACAGCAAAGAGAAACAGGAUUUCAUCGUAAAAGAGCUGCAAGGAAGUCGGAAAUGGAUUGGUUUAAAUGAUAGAGAAGAAGAGGGAACAUGGUAAUGGGUGGACGGCACACUACUGACCAACGGGCACUGGGGUUAUUCUCAGCCAGAUAAUAAAGGAAAUGAGGACUGUGCUGAGAUCGGGUUACCGCAAAGGCAUAACUGGAAUGACAGACCUUGCUUUGAAAAGCAAGGCUGAGUUUGUGAGAAGAGAGGUGAUUUGUGAGAAAUAAUAACAUUCACAAAUAAAUCAAGCUAAAGGCUUUCACUUCAAAUCAGUGAUGCAUCUUCCAUCACAUCUAUUCUGUGCAUUACUCUGCCUCCCUAUUACACUGCCCCCUAGUGGCUAAAUUUCUCCCUCUUAAUUAGUGCAUUGUUUGUAUUUUUGCCACUUAAAUAAUCAGCUGUACCAUCUGAUCAGUAAGCUGUGAUGAUGUAACUUGAUGAUGUGUGGUGCUUGUUUAUUUGUUUGUUUAAAUUCAUGUUUAUUAUUUUUUGUACAAUUGGCAAUAAAUUCUUGUUUAAAUUAAAUCUACGAGUAAAAAA